CGCCGUGGGAAGGGAGCAGAGCACCGCGGUCCCGGGCUGUCCACGCGUGGGCAGGCUGCGCCGCCUCCGGGCUCGGCGGGGGGAACCUGCGGGGUCGGGGGACAGGGGAGGCGGAAGGCGGCACUCGGGCCUCGAACCCUCACCUCGUGCCCCCCGCCGCCUUCCUGUCGCGCAGCCUCCCUCCAUGGCCUCGAGGCCGGCACGCCUGACCACGAAGGCCCCGAGCGGGCAGGCUGCAGAGCUCCCGCCCUCCUGCCGUUCCCACCAGCCCGGGUGGACAGGCUCCCCUCGUCUCAGGAGCAGGAGCCCGGGGCCCCGAGCGCAGCCGGCAGAGCCCAGGCAGCCCCUGCUCCGGCCGAGUGGGCAGGGCUGCGCGUCUUCAGAGGCAGGGCCCGCCCUCGCUGGACAAACUAGAAAGACGCCCGGGUGCCGGCUCGGCAGCCCCCGGGAGCGCGGAGCCCAGGGACGGGCGCUGGACGCUGCUCAGGGCUAGGGCAGGCUGUGUCCAGGGGCCUCGGGGCCGGCCUCCAAGGGCGGCUGCGCUCCCUGGGCCUCCAGGCCCACCUGUCCCAGUGGCAGCCAUCACCCUCCCCAAGGCCUCAGUGGGGCCCGCGGCCAGCACGCCACCUCCAGGACAAAUCCCAGGUCACCUGCGAGUAGGGGGGACGGGCUCCUAGACGACGGGAAGGCACGGUCGUUCCGAUGGCGCCGGGUUCCGUGUUCGCUCGAAGACAGCACGUGCUCUGGGGAGUUCGUGAUGACUUAGUGAAGAGUGCCACCCCCGUGCAGGCUCCUUGAGGUCCUGUGCCUCAGUUUCCCCUUCUGUGGGAAAUGCUGCAGGAGCCUCGGUCAGGCUGAGGUUUGUCGCAAGUGGAGGAAAACCCCAGAAAGCGACAUGGAGAUGCCUGUCUCCCGCGAGGCGCCUGUGGCCGAUCGUGUCAAGGCCCCCGCAUCUCCUGAAGGCGAGCGCGGAGCCCACCUAGCUGUGUGUCGUCCCUCGUGCGGCGCAGCCGUCGCUGCGUGAUGAGCAAACGGACGGUGUUUUCUGGAACUCCCAGAGCCGCGGCCCCAGCGGCUGCACCUGCUCCCACGAGCAGCCCUUUAGUUUGCCGGCGUUGUCCGUAUGGCUCGCCACCUGGGCCGCGGGUUUGGGGUCGCGUGUGCUCCUUGUGGGUGAAAAUGGCGGGGGCUGGGGCACGGGGGUCCCCGAGCCUCCAGAGGUGAAGCCUGAGUGCCGUUUGGGGCCUGGGCUGCCAAGGCGGGCAGUAGGCUGAGCGUGUCUGGGGUGCUCACACAACCCCCAGCCCUGCGCCGGGAGACAAGGACGCGGGCGGGGGGUGACGUGGUCGGGGGAUGAUGCGGGGGGGCGACGUGGACGGGGGUGACGUGGGUGCGGGUGACGUGGGCGGGGGUGACAAGGGCAGAGGGUGAUGCAGGCAGGGGAUGAUGACGGCAGGGG
rnacentral:lncRNA from 1 species